rnacentral:rRNA from 1 species
GAUGAACGCUGGCGGCGUGCCUAAUACAUGCAAGUCGAGCGAACAGACGAGGAGCUUGCUCCUCUGACGUUAGCGGCGGACGGGUGAGUAACACGUGGAUAACCUACCUAUAAGACUGGGAUAACUUCGGGAAACCGGAGCUAAUACCGGAUAAUAUAUUGAACCGCAUGGUUCAAUAGUGAAAGACGGUUUUGCUGUCACUUAUAGAUGGAUCCGCGCCGCAUUAGCUAGUUGGUAAGGUAACGGCUUACCAAGGCAACGAUGCGUAGCCGACCUGAGAGGGUGAUCGGCCACACUGGAACUGAGACACGGUCCUGACUCCUACGGGAGGCAGCAGUAGGGAAUCUUCCGCAGUGGGCGAAAGCCUGACGGAGCAACGCCGCGUGAGUGAUGAAGGUCUUCGGAUCGUAAAACUCUGUUAUUAGGGAAGAACAAAUGUGUAAGUAACUAUGCACGUCUGGACGGUACCUAAUCAGAAAGCCACGGCUAACUACGU